rnacentral:rRNA from 1 species
UUAAGCGACUAAGCGUACACGGUGGAUGCCCUGGCAGUCAGAGGCGAUGAAGGACGUGCUAAUCUGCGAUAAGCGUCGGUGAGGUGAUAUGAACCGUUAUAACCGGCGAUUUCCGAAUGGGGAAACCCAGUGUGUUUCGACACACUAUCAUUAACUGAAUCCAUAGGUUAAUGAGGCGAACCGGGGGAACUGAAACAUCUAAGUACCCCGAGGAAAAGAAAUCAACCGAGAUUCCCCCAGUAGCGGCGAGCGAACGGGGAGGAGCCCAGAGCCUGAAUCAGUGUGUGUGUUAGUGGAAGCGUCUGGAAAGGCGCGCGAUACAGGGUGACAGCCCCGUACACAAAAAUGCACAUAUUGUGAGCUCGAUGAGUAGGGCGGGACACGUGGUAUCCUGUCUGAAUAUGGGGGGACCAUCCUCCAAGGCUAAAUACUCCUGACUGACCGAUAGUGAACCAGUACCGUGAGGGAAAGGCGAAAAGAACCCCGGCGAGGGGAGUGAAAAAGAACCUGAAACCGUGUACGUACAAGCAGUGGGAGCCUCUUAAUGGGGUGACUGCGUACCUUUUGUAUAAUGGGUCAGCGACUUAUAUUCUGUAGCAAGGUUAACCGAAUAGGGGAGCCGAAGGGAAACCGAGUCUUAACUGGGCGUUAAGUUGCAGGGUAUAGACCCGAAACCCGGUGAUCUAGCCAUGGGCAGGUUGAAGGUUGGGUAACACUAACUGGAGGACCGAACCGACUAAUGUUGAAAAAUUAGCGGAUGACUUGUGGCUGGGGGUGAAAGGCCAAUCAAACCGGGAGAUAGCUGGUUCUCCCCGAAAGCUAUUUAGGUAGCGCCUCGUGAAUUCAUCUCCGGGGGUAGAGCACUGUUUCGGCAAGGGGGUCAUCCCGACUUACCAACCCGAUGCAAACUGCGAAUACCGGAGAAUGUUAUCACGGGAGACACACGGCGGGUGCUAACGUCCGUCGUGAAGAGGGAAACAACCCAGACCGCCAGCUAAGGUCCCAAAGUCAUGGUUAAGUGGGAAACGAUGUGGGAAGGCCCAGACAGCCAGGAUGUUGGCUUAGAAGCAGCCAUCAUUUAAAGAAAGCGUAAUAGCUCACUGGUCGAGUCGGCCUGCGCGGAAGAUGUAACGGGGCUAAACCAUGCACCGAAGCUGCGGCAGCGACACUAUGUGUUGUUGGGUAGGGGAGCGUUCUGUAAGCCUGUGAAGGUGGCCUGUGAGGGUUGCUGGAGGUAUCAGAAGUGCGAAUGCUGACAUAAGUAACGAUAAAGCGGGUGAAAAGCCCGCUCGCCGGAAGACCAAGGGUUCCUGUCCAACGUUAAUCGGGGCAGGGUGAGUCGACCCCUAAGGCGAGGCCGAAAGGCGUAGUCGAUGGGAAACAGGUUAAUAUUCCUGUACUUGGUGUUACUGCGAAGGGGGGACGGAGAAGGCUAUGUUGGCCGGGCGACGGUUGUCCCGGUUUAAGCGUGUAGGCUGGUUUUCCAGGCAAAUCCGGAAAACCAAGGCUGAGGCGUGAUGACGAGGCACUACGGUGCUGAAGCGACAAAUGCCCUGCUUCCAGGAAAAGCCUCUAAGCAUCAGGUAACAUCAAAUCGUACCCCAAACCGACACAGGUGGUCAGGUAGAGAAUACCAAGGCGCUUGAGAGAACUCGGGUGAAGGAACUAGGCAAAAUGGUGCCGUAACUUCGGGAGAAGGCACGCUGAUAUGUAGGUGAAGCGACUUGCUCGUGGAGCUGAAAUCAGUCGAAGAUACCAGCUGGCUGCAACUGUUUAUUAAAAACACAGCACUGUGCAAACACGAAAGUGGACGUAUACGGUGUGACGCCUGCCCGGUGCCGGAAGGUUAAUUGAUGGGGUUAGCGGUAACGCGAAGCUCUUGAUCGAAGCCCCGGUAAACGGCGGCCGUAACUAUAACGGUCCUAAGGUAGCGAAAUUCCUUGUCGGGUAAGUUCCGACCUGCACGAAUGGCGUAAUGAUGGCCAGGCUGUCUCCACCCGAGACUCAGUGAAAUUGAACUCGCUGUGAAGAUGCAGUGUACCCGCGGCAAGACGGAAAGACCCCGUGAACCUUUACUAUAGCUUGACACUGAACAUUGAGCCUUGAUGUGUAGGAUAGGUGGGAGGCUUUGAAGUGUGGACGCCAGUCUGCAUGGAGCCGACCUUGAAAUACCACCCUUUAAUGUUUGAUGUUCUAACGUGGGCCCCUAAUCGGGGUUGCGGACAGUGUCUGGUGGGUAGUUUGACUGGGGCGGUCUCCUCCUAAAGAGUAACGGAGGAGCACGAAGGUUGGCUAAUCCUGGUCGGACAUCAGGAGGUUAGUGCAAUGGCAUAAGCCAGCUUGACUGCGAGCGUGACGGCGCGAGCAGGUGCGAAAGCAGGUCAUAGUGAUCCGGUGGUUCUGAAUGGAAGGGCCAUCGCUCAACGGAUAAAAGGUACUCCGGGGAUAACAGGCUGAUACCGCCCAAGAGUUCAUAUCGACGGCGGUGUUUGGCACCUCGAUGUCGGCUCAUCACAUCCUGGGGCUGAAGUAGGUCCCAAGGGUAUGGCUGUUCGCCAUUUAAAGUGGUACGCGAGCUGGGUUUAGAACGUCGUGAGACAGUUCGGUCCCUAUCUGCCGUGGGCGCUGGAGAACUGAGGGGGGCUGCUCCUAGUACGAGAGGACCGGAGUGGACGCAUCACUGGUGUUCGGGUUGUCAUGCCAAUGGCACUGCCCGGUAGCUAAAUGCGGAAGAGAUAAGUGCUGAAAGCAUCUAAGCACGAAACUUGCCCCGAGAUGAGUUCUCCCUGAGACUUAGAGUCUCCUGAAGGAACGUUGAAGACGACGACGUUGAUAGGCCGGGUGUGUAAGCGCAGCGAUGCGUUGAGCUAACCGGUACUAAUGAACCGUGAGGCUUAACCU